ensembl:snRNA U6 U6 spliceosomal RNA
GUGCUCUCUUUGGCAGCACAUGUACUAAAAUUGGAAUGAUACAGGGAAGAUUAGCAUAGCCCCCACUCAAGAAUGACACGCAAAUUUGUAAAGCAUUCUACAUUUUU